rnacentral:tRNA from 1 species
UAUAUUACAGCUUACCCAAAGCAUAGCACUGAUAAUGCUAAGAUGGUUUCACCCAUAAUAUAA